rnacentral:rRNA from 1 species
CCUACGGGGGGCUGCAGUAAGGAAUAUUGGUCAAUGGACGAAAGUCUGAACCAGCCAUCCCGCGUGCAGGAUGAAAGCCCUAUGGGUUGUAAACUGCUUUUAGCAGAGAAGAAAAGCUUUCAUUAAUGAGAGUCUGACGGUAUCUGCAGAAUAAGCACCGGCUAACUCCGUGCCAGCAGCCGCGGUAAUACGGCGGGUGCGAGCUUUAUCGGUGAUUACUGGGUUUAGAGGAGGCGUAAGCGAGUGAUUAAAUCUUGGCGCUUAACGAUAAAAUUGCCAAUGAUACUGGUACUCUUGAAUUGGGUUGAGGUUAGCGGAAUGUGACAUGUAGCGGUGAAAUGCAUAGAUAUGUCAUGGAACACCAAUUGCGAAGGCAGCUAACUGGGCCUUGAUUGACGCUGAGGCACGAAAGCGUGGGUAGCGAACAGGAUUAGAUACCCGAGUAGUC